rnacentral:rRNA from 1 species
CUACGGGGCGCAGCAGUGGGGAAUAUUGCACAAUGGACGAAAGUCUGAUGCAGCAACGCCGCGUGGAGGAUGACACAUUUCGGUGCGUAAACUCCUUUUAUAUGAGAAGAUAAUGACGGUAUCAUAUGAAUAAGCACCGGCUAACUCCGUGCCAGCAGCCGCGGUAAUACGGGGGGUGCAAGCGUUACUCGGAAUCACUGGGCGUAAAGAGCAUGUAGGUGGAUUAAUAAGUUGGAAGUGAAAUCCUAUAGCUUAACUAUAGAACUGCUUCCAAAACUGUUGAUCUAGAAUGUGGGAGAGGUAGAUGGAAUUUCUGGUGUAGGGGUAAAAUCCGUAGAGAUCAGAAGGAAUACCGAUUGCGAAGGCGAUCUACUGGAACACUAUUGACACUCAGAUGCGAAAGCGUGGGGAGCAAACAGGAUUAGAUACCCCGGUAGUC